CUGGGUGCUGCCAGGGUUCUGCUCUGGGCUGGAAGUUGCAGAAGAGCUGUGCAGGGGCUGGUGGUCGGUGGAGAUAACUUGUGGGUGAAACUCCAGAGGCCACCCCUGGGCCUCUGAUGGGGGUCUUUUUCUUUCCCCCAUCUCAGGAGAGCUGUGCCCCCACCCCCACCCCCCAGUGCCACAGGGACUGUGGGUGCUGAUGUACCCCCGGCUUCAGACUACUAUGAUGCCGAGAGCCUCCUAUGAGGACAGACCCUGGCCCUGGGAACUGCACCAGCUUCCUGCUCUGGAUACAGCCCCGGAGCUGCCUCCUGCACCUCUCUUGUCGACUCCCCGGUGCCCAUGGCUGGCAGUCCUUCUCACUCCCUCAACCUCAGCCAGGCCCUCUUCUCCUGGGGAAAUCAGUCCCUGCCCCACGCCAAUGAGUUCCUGGACGGGCCGGAUCUGUGCUGUGGUGUAAGAGCUCCUUAGAGCACCACCCAGGCCCUUGAAGCCACGUCAGCCCGCCUCUGCCCCACUGCUUCCUGCC
rnacentral:lncRNA from 1 species